CCUCUCCUAUGAUGAUGGGUUGAGGAAGUUGGGCUUGUUUAGCUUUGAGAAGGGAAGGCUCCAGGGAGACUUCAUUGCGAUCUCACCAACUUUUUCCAGUCUGAUCGUGAUAGGACAAGGGGGAUGGCCUUGAAAUCUUAAAAUAAGAUAGGUUUAGGUUAGAUGUUACGAAAGAAUGUUUUUAUUCAGUGAGCUUCUGGAACAGUUUGUUCAGAAAGGUUAUAGAUGCUCCACCUCUGGGAGCAUUUGAGGCCAAGGUGGAUAGGAUCCUGUGCAGUCUGAUCUAAUGGUUGGCAACCCUGCCCAUGGCAGGAGAGUUGGAACUAGAUGAUCUUUAAGGUCUCCAUUCUGUGAUGUUCUUCUCUGUAGGACGAGCAGGUUGGUGCCAAAGCACAGGGCUUACAGUUGCGAGAAGAACAAUGAUGCUCUUCUUUCUCCCAACUCCAUUUAGCCUCAGAAUCUGGCCUGGCUCCCUGCAUUGUGAGGCUUCUACAGCACAUGCAUCAGGCACUGGCUACUCAUCUGCCACCCACUCUUGGUCUUGCUUCUUGAAAAAGAGCACGGAGAAGGAGAGCACUCUGUGAGCUCAGUGUAAUGUGUGGAUUUCUGGAGCUGCACUGCUGUGUGUGUCCCCCCACCGUGACGCAGCAGUGCGGGCGGCUGUGUCACCAGGGCACAGUGCUCCACUCCAAGCAGAUAGUGAGGCCAGCAGGAAAGUGUGCCUGGGAUCAUCAGAGAUGAGCAAGCAAGGAAACAGUUGAGGGAGAGCACAAAGUAGAUGUGAAGGGAGAGCUCAGGGGCUGCGGCACAGUGAGGCCUGGCUCUGAGCACUGUGCUGGGGACUUCUUGUAUGACAUGGUGCUGUGCCUGCAAGUCACGGCUUACAGCCUGUGCCUGUGGGGCUGGGCAGGAAGCCGCCACUGGUGCGUGCUGCAGUCUUUGUUCUGUGGCUGUUCUGUGUGGAGUGGAGCGUCCUUGCACACAGAAUGCAGGGAACUGGGGUGACUGACCCAUGUGGAGCCUGCCUGAUGUGGGCUGCCCUUGGAGCCGUGGUUGAAGCUUUGCUGCUGAGGGACUGGGGGUGAUUUUGCUGCUUUUCAGGAAGGUCAGCUUCUGAUGUUCUUGAGGCCGCUUCAGAGUGGGAAUCUCUCUGUGCCCCGGGCCAGUACUGCACUCGGUGAGUGGGCCUGAGCAGGGCCUCUUCCUGCCCAGGACCGCGUCCGGCUUCCCCAGGCUGGGAGCAGGAAGUGCCCUGCUGCUGGGAACAGCCUCCAGGGAAUGUGCUUUGAGCAGUGCAAAAAAUGCUGUGCUUGUUUUUGGGGCUGUGCCCAGAUUUACCCUGCAGGGGGGUGGUGGGGCUCUGGGGAGCACUGGGCCGUCCUUGGUUGUCAGCUGAGUCCUCAGGCACUGCCACACUGCAGGCAGGUCAGCGCUGUGGUGUUUGAAGAGAACUUCCCUAAAACAACAAGCUAUCUAAUGGAUGUAUUUAUAGAAUCUUGUUCCUUAAUUUAAUCUGCUUUUUCACUGUUUGUUUUUUAUUUUUAAGUUCAAAGGUGUGAUAGCAAAGAAACUAAACUUUGCAGGCGCCCGAGGGGGAGCUGAAAUGUAACUCAUGGUCUGCAUCAGCCCGAAGCUCUGCUCUGACCUGUUCCGAGUUCAGAAAAACAUUUACCAAGCACGCAGGCCGGUUCCUGCUGCUCUGCGCCAGCUCCAGCUGCAUCCCAGUGCCCCGCGGCACCGUGUUGGUUCAGACUGGGCAUUGUGAAGUGUAACCCUGGUCCUGCUGGCACCAGCACUCACCUCUGCCUUUUUAGAAGCAGAUCAGUCCACAAUGCCUGAAGUGCGAGAUCUCUCUGAUGCCUUGCCUGAUGUGCCAAUGGAUCCCAUCACAGGGGUUGGCGUGGUUGCGUCCCGGAGCCGCGCGCCGACAGGCUAUGAUGUAGUUGCACAAACAGCAGAUGGCCUGGAUGCUGACCUCUGGAAGGAUGGCCUGUUUAAAUCCAAGGUCACACGAUACCUGUGCUUCACAAGGUCAUUUUCAAAAGAAAAUAGUCACUUAGGAAACGUCUUGGUUGACAUGAAGCUCAUUGACAUCAAGGACACCUUACCUGUGGGCUUCAUCCCCAUUCAAGAGACUGUUGACACACAAGAAAUAGCUUUCAGAAAGAAGAGGCUGUGCAUUAAAUUUAUCCCUCGAGAUUCUACAGAGGCAGCCAUCUGUGAUAUCCGAAUCCUGGGAAGAUCAAAGCAAGCCCCUCCUCAGUACACAUUCAUAGGGGAGUUGAACAACAUGGGCAUUUGGUAUCGGAUGGGCAGAGUUCCCCGCAACCAUGAAUCUUCACAGCCUGCUGCUCCUUCCCAAGCUCCAUCUCCAGCACCAGCUCCCAACCUGCCAAGGCAUAUCUCACUGACGCUUCCUGCUAGCUUUCGUGGCAAAAGUCACAGCCGCCUGGACUUGGAGCACCAGCACUCAAACCUGUAUGCCAUAUCAGCAAUGGAUGGAGUGCCUUUCAUGAUCUCGGAGAAGUUUGCGUGCGCUCCUGAAGGGAUGCAGCCAGUUGAUCUCUUGGGCAUCACAAUCAAAAGCCUUGCAGAAAUUGAAAAGGAGGGACUUUCUGAGCGGUUCUGGUGGGACGCAAAGGCUGAAAUCAGGUACAGCCUUUCCUGUGCUCUCAAGCUACCUGGGAGAGCAAAGGACACUGCAAGAGAUGUGACUGAGUUCAGGCACAGGACAUAAACCAUAGGAGCAGAGGAGUCACUGGCGGUUGGACCAGGAGCUGUGAGCCUUCUGAUGAGCUGCAGAGCUGGCUGCUCCUGGCUGCCCGUGGCUGCAGAGGUGAUGGCAUGAACCUCAUGAAGGUAAUUUGCUUUUGUUUGUGUUUGUUUUUAUCCUUGUAAACCAAUCUGAAAUGUCUGCUAAAUUCUAUGCUGCAAAGUCAAAAAUCAGAAGUCAAAAUAUCUUGACUUCAGCAUUUUCUGGAGGGGAAAGGACCAUACAUGGCAAAUACACUGCUGCACAGGCAGCGUUCCAAGUGUGUGUGGCAGCGAGUUCAGUACAAUAGAUGCAGGCAAAGUUAGUGGAACAACUCAUUUAUCCUCUAUGAAGUGCUCAGGCAGGGCCAGGAGCGGCUGGCAUUGCAGCAGUGUGCAGCAGGUGACAGCAGCGUGCAGCCUGAGCACAGCAUGCAGCUUGUGGGACUGCGGGGCACCUUGCAACUACAGCCACAGACCCCAUCUGCAGUGAUCUGAUAGCGGGGAGAGCCCUGGGCCUCAGGCAAGGCCUUCUCUUGGAGGGAGCAGUAGCUCUGGGGCUUGGUGCUGGCACAGCAUUGUGGUUUGGUGCUGGUGCAGAGAUUCUGGUAACUGCGUGGGCUCAGAGCAACCCUGCUGGGCUCAGGGCUCCAUGGUCUCAUUUUUUACAAAUAUAAACUGGGAUUCUGCAGAAGUAAACAGGGUUUUAUAAUCAGCUCUGAAAUACGGCUGUAUUUUAAGAGAGGCAGUUAAGGAUGGAUGUGUGAGUUACAGGGAAGGUGCCAUGCUUUUACGACCCAUGCUCUGCUCUGUGUGGCCCUGCUUCGUGCUCUCUUUGUCAAAUGCUGCUGCUGGCGAGCGAUUUAACAGCAGCGGGGAAUGCGACUGGGAAGGCUGCAGCUCCAGUACCACUGUCAGCAUGGUCUGCAGGGCAGAGCUGCCUCCGCAGUGGGGUGAAGGCUCAGAGCGAGGCAGGAUGGGGACAGGAUGAUGCCCAGAAUGGGGAGGUGCAGGCAGCAGUGCAGGCAGUACACAGCAGGGGCAGGGCUGCUCUGUUGGUUGGGCAGGGGGUCCUGGCCCCAUGGAUCCCAGCGCAGGUGGUCCUGGCAGCUCUCUCCCUUUUGCAGGCACCCCGGGGGCACAAUGGACUUCUCGAUGGGGGAGAGGUUCACGUCACACCGUUAGAACUCAAGUUUGUUAUUCGUUCUGCUGUUAUUUUUCUGAACUUGACUCAGCGGUGGUGCACACUGUGACCUCUGGCAUCUUCUCUCACCCCAGCCAAUAUCCCCAUCUCACAUACUUUGAGCGCCCUUUGAAUUAAAGGAGAUUAAUUCCCAAGUUCCCGACAUGCUCUUCAGGCACAUGUUUUUAUAACCUCCUAAAGCAAGUGCCCCUGGUUCCGCCAAACUAGCUCAGCCCUAAGCUGCAGGCACUGGGAGCUACUGCUGCCCCCCAGGAGAGCACCCCGCUGCACGCACCCACGGCCUUCCUGCUGGCUGGGGAUGCAGCAGGCAUAGGCUGGCAGCAGCCGUGGGGUGCGAUGUCACAGGCUGCUGGGCUUUGUGCCGCUGUGGCUUUUGUUGUUGUUUGUUUUCUUUGCCUCUUCUCCCUCCUACAGCUUCAAGAAUUAACUCGCCCUGGGAAUAUCUCCAAAUCCUUUCCCUUCUUCGAAGUGAUGGAUAAGCCAUGUAACUGAUUGCCGUGGCCUCGGAGAGGGGUAUGAUGUUUUAUCCCGCGGCAGGAAGGGCUGCCAGCAGCACUUUGAAGGUCUGGCAGAGCCGCCACGGCUUGGAUCGUGAACUGGGAAGUGUUUGAAUGCACUGGGAAAAAAAGGAAAGUCCUGAACUCUGCUCCAUGUGUGCAGAUUUCGCGAAGAUAAAGGAGCCCACAGCUUUAUCCAGCCAUGCUGACUCUUUUCUUUUCCAAAGCCUUUUCAGAUGUUUUCACUUUUCUGCUUGCUUUGUUGAAAGAUGUAAAAAUUUAAGACAACCACAAAGUAAACAUUUCAAAACUUUCUAUUCUGAAAAUUAGCGACAUUUUCAAAAUCCCCCAAAUUCUGUUUCUGCUUGAUCCAAAAUGAAGAUGUUUGGCAUUUCUUUGGUUGGCGGCAUAUUUUUGUUUGUUGAUAACCUUUCUUCUAUUUUUCCAAGAAAACAGAUCAGUUAUUCAGUAGAAACACCAGAUAAGUCGAUGUCUUGUCAAAAUAAAGCAGGUUUUCCUUAUUAGAGUGAAAUAGUAAUGAACUCAUCUGCUUCCAAUAUUUAUAAAGAGUAGAGAAGCCCAUUAAUUCUACUGCUUGUGAAUAAAACCAUCUGUGAUUUCUUUCCA